CUAGCUGUAAACGAUGGAUACUAGGCGUUGAGAGUAUCGACCCUCUCAGUGUCGUAGCUAACGCGUUAAGUAUCCCGCCUGGGGAGUACGCGCGCAAGCGUGAACCUCAAAGGAAUUGACGGGGGCCCGCACAAGCGGUGGAGUAUGUGGUUUAAUUCGAUGCAACGCGAAGAACCUUACCAGGGCUUGACAUGUCCGGAACCCUGCCCAAAGGCGGGGGUGCCUACGGGAACCGGAACACAGGUGGUGC
rnacentral:rRNA from 1 species